AAAUAUGCACAAACAAGUGGCUUGUUUGGUGCGUGUUUUUCCAUGUAGCUCCCAGUCUCGGCCCCCGUGUCGCUAGCAGAUGGGUCUCUCUCUGUGUAGUCAGCCA